rnacentral:rRNA from 1 species
UCCUACGGGGGGCAGCAGUGGGGGAUAUUGCACAAUGGGGGGAACCCUGAUGCAGCGACGCCGCGUGAGUGAAGAAGUAUUUCGGUAUGUAAAGCUCUAUCAGCAGGGAAGAAAAUGACGGUACCUGACUAAGAAGCCCCGGCUAACUACGUGCCAGCAGCCGCGGUAAUACGUAGGGGGCAAGCGUUAUCCGGAUUUACUGGGUGUAAAGGGAGCGUAGACGGCAAUGCAAGUCUGGAGUGAAAGCCCAAGGCCCAACCAUGGGACUGCUCUGGAAACUGUGUAGCUUGAGUGCAGGAGGGGUA